UACGGGGGGGGUAAGCGUUGUUCGGAAUUACUGGGCGUAAAGGGCUCGUAGGCGGCCAACUAAGUCGGACGUGAAAUCCCUCAGCUUAACUGGGGAACUGCGUCCGAUACUGGAUGGCUUGGAUUUGGGAGAGGGAUGCGGAAUUCCAGGUGUAGCGGUGAAAUGCGUAGAUAUCUGGAGGAACACCGAUGGCGAAGGCGGCAUCCUGGACCGGUAUUGACACUGAGGCGCGAAAGCCAGGGGAGCAAACGGG
rnacentral:rRNA from 1 species